GCCUCCCUCUUUCUUCGUGCUUAACACAUGCAAGUCGAACGGAAAGGCCCUGCUUUUGUGGGGUGCUCGAGUGGCGAACGGGUGAGUAACACGUGAGUAACCUGCCCUUGACUUUGGGAUAACUUCAGGAAACUGGGGCUAAUACCGGAUAGGAGCUCCUGCUGCAUGGUGGGGGUUGGAAAGUUUCGGCGGUUGGGGAUGGACUCGCGGCUUAUCAGCUUGUUGGUGGGGUAGUGGCUUACCAAGGCUUUGACGGGUAGCCGGCCUGAGAGGGUGACCGGCCACAUUGGGACUGAGGUACGGCCCAGACUCCUACGGGAGGCAGCAGUGGGGAAUAUUGCACAAUGGGCGGAAGCCUGAUGCAGCAACGCCGCGUGCGGGAUGACGGCCUUCGGGUUGUAAACCGCUUUCGCCUGUGACGAAGCGUGAGUGACGGUAAUGGGUAAAGGAGCACCGGCUAACUACGUG
rnacentral:rRNA from 1 species